rnacentral:rRNA from 1 species
CCUACGGGGCGCUGCAGUGGGGAAUAUUGCGCAAUGGGCGAAAGCCUGACGCAGCGACGCCGCGUGAGGGAUGAAGGUCUUCGGAUCGUAAACCUCUGUCAGCAGGGAAGAACGGUCACUGUGCUAAUCAGCAGUGAAUUGACGGUACCUGCAAAGGAAGCACCGGCUAACUCCGUCCCAGCAGCCGCGGUAAUACGGAGGGUGCGAGCGUUAAUCGGAAUUACUGGGCGGAAAGCGAUCGUAGGCGGUAUGUCAAGUCAAGGGUGAAAUCCCCGCGCUCAACGUGGGAACUGCCUUUGAAACGGGCAAACUGGAGUGUGUGAGAGGAUAGUGGAAUUCCAGGUGUAGGAGUGAAAUCCGUAGAUAUCUGGAGGAACAUCAGUGGCGAAGGCGACUAUCUGGCACAUAACUGACGCUGAGGAGCGAAAGCGUGGGUAGCAAACAGGAGUAGAUACCCCUGUAGUC